rnacentral:rRNA from 1 species
AACGAACGCUGGCGGCGUGCUUAACACAUGCAAGUCGAACGGUAAGGCCCUUCGGGGUACACGAGUGGCGAACGGGUGAGUAACACGUGGGUGAUCUGCCCUGCACUUCGGGAUAAGCCUGGGAAACUGGGUCUAAUACCGGAUAGGACCCUGGGAUGCAUGUCCUGGGGUGGAAAGCUUUUGCGGUGUGGGAUGGGCCCGCGGCCUAUCAGCUUGUUGGUGGGGUGAUGGCCUACCAAGGCGACGACGGGUAGCCGGCCUGAGAGGGUGACCGGCGACGCUGGGACGGAGCUACGGCCCAGACUCCUACGGGAGGCAGCAGUGGGGAAUAUUGCACAAUGGGCGCAAGCCUGAUGCAGCGACGCCGCGUGAGGGAUGACGGCCUUCGGGUUGUAAACCUCUUUCAGCACCGACGAAGCGCAAGUGACGGUAGGUGCAGAAGAAGGACCGGCCAACUACGUGCCAGCCGCCGCCGUAA